CAGCAGCCACGGUAAUACAGAGGGUGCGAGCGUUAAUCGGAAUUACUGGGCGUAAAGCGUGCGUAGGUGGCUUUUUAAGUCGGAUGUGAAAUCCCUGAGCUCAACUUAGGAAUUGCAUUCGAUACUGGGAAGCUAGAGUAUGGGAGAGGAUGGUAGAAUUCCAGGUGUAGCAGUGAAAUGCGUAGAGAUCUGGAGGAAUACCGAUGGCGAAGGCAGCCAUCUGGACUAAUACUGACGCUGAGGUACGAAAGCAUGGGGAGCAAACAGGAUUAGAUACCCGCGUAGUCCCUGUCUCUUAUAC
rnacentral:rRNA from 1 species